AUUGAACGCUAGCGGGAUGCCUUACACAUGCAAGUCGAACGGAGUGGCGAACGGGUGAGUAAUGUAUCGGAACGAGCCCAUUCGCGGGGGAUAACUACGCGAAAGCGUAGCUAAUACCGCAUACUCUUGGAGCGGCCGUUACCGGAGUAGCCAGUUGGUGGGGUAACGGCUCACCAAGGCGACGAUCCGUAGCUGGUUUGAGAGGAGGACCAGCCACACUGGGACUGAGGCACGGCCCAGACUCCUACGGAAGGCAGCAGUGGGGAAUGUUGGACAAUGGGGGAAACCCUGAACCAGCCAUCCCGCGUGUGCGAUGAAGGCCUUCGGGUUGUAAAGCACUGUUGGCAGGAAAGCGGUACAUGCAGAAUAAGCACCGGCUAACUACGUGACAGCAGCCGCGGUAAUAC
rnacentral:rRNA from 1 species